UACGAAGGGGGCUAGCGUUGCUCGGAAUCACUGGGCGUAAAGCGCACGUAGGCGGAUUGCUAAGUCAGGGGUGAAAUCCUGGAGCUCAACUCCAGAACUGCCUUUGAUACUGGCGAUCUUCGAGUCCGGGAGAGGUGAGUGGAACUGCGAGUGUAGAGGUGAAAUUCGUAGAUAUUCGCAAGAACACCAGUGGCGAAGGCGGCUCACUGGCCCGGUACUGACGCUGAGGUGCGAAAGCGUGGGAGCAAACAGG
rnacentral:rRNA from 1 species